UGCUGGUCCCAGUGCAGUGGUGUGACAACUAAUUGAUCACAAACAGUUAAGAUUUCUUUGUUCCUUCUCUACUUCCACUGCUUCACUUGACCAGCCUGAA
ensembl:Y_RNA Y_RNA Y RNA